AUUGAACGCUGGCGGCAGGCUUAACACAUGCAAGUCGAGCGAGCAGCGGACGGGUGAGUAAUGUCUGGGAAACUGGGUGAUGGAGGGGGAUAACUACGGGAAACGGUAGAUAAUACAGCAUACCAACAGAUGAACCCAUACGGGAUUAGCUAGUAGGUGAGGUAACGGCGUAUCUAGGCGACGAUCCCUAGCUGGUCUGAGAGGAUGAUCAGCCAAACUGGGACUGAGACACUGCCCAGACUCCUACGGGAGGCAGCAGUGGGGAAUAUUGCCCAAUGGGCGCAAGCCUGAUUCAGCCAUGCCGCGUGUAUGAAGAAGGCCUUCGGGUUGUAAAGGACUUUCAGUCGGGAGGCGUUACCUACAGAAGAAGCACCGGCUAACUCCGUGCCAGCAGCCGCGGUAAUUC
rnacentral:rRNA from 1 species